CGUCUAGGCGGCCUCCUAAGUCAGAUGUGAAAGCCCUGGGCUCAACCGAGGAAGUGCAUCUGAAACUGGGGGGCUUGAGUACCGGAGGGGGCAGCGGAAUUCCCGGUGUAGAGGUGAAAUUCGUAGAUAUCGGGAGGAACACCAGUGGCGAAGGCGGCUGUCUGGCCGGAUACUGACGCUAAAGCGCGAAAGCGGUGGGGAGCAAACA
rnacentral:rRNA from 1 species